ACCUGACCAGGACCCUGGGCAGCUGUUUCCGAUGGUGCUGCUGGUCCUCUUGCUGCUGGGUGGGGCCUGGUAUUUGCAGCUUCAGUGAGGUGCAGCUGGGGCAGGGCUGGUCCCUGCCCCCCAACCCCUAGAGGCUGGUCCUGUGGCCAUCAGUGGGGGGAGUGCUGGCCACACCCCUGUCUGUGAAGCCUUGAGGUACAGGAUCUACUGGACUAGAUUCCUUUGGGGUGGAGAGUUCAAUAAAGUGUUGUUUGCAGGCAAGUUCAAUAAAAUGUUUCCAGCCAGUC